GAUUAAUACUAAUUAAACCAAUCAAAACAAAUUUAAACCUUCCAAUCACAAGGCGUACAUCUUCACUCUAAUGCCAUCUGUCUCUGUAUUUAAUUUGUAAUAAGUUAAGUAUUUUUUAUAUGUUUGUUGUUAAUUUAAAACACGUGUUAAAAUGCAAGUGAAAUCAAUUAAACUAUCUAAAUCAAUAAGUAAUAAUUCGUUAGAUGUAGAUAAUUUAAUUGUUACGAGAAAAGGUGGAGGAUCUAUAAUCGACCAUCGUCCAUUAUUUUCGGAAGAUGGAGAAACAUUAUAUGUUAUAUGGAAACAUACUAUACGUGCAUACAGUACAUUAACUGGAGAUUUUGUUCAAGAAUUUGAGGGUAUUGAUCGUAGGAUAAUUGGAAUUGUCUCAUAUCCAGAUGUUUAUAAUACAGUUAUGGGUUGUACAGAUAAUGGGCAGCUUAACUUUUGGAGUUGUCAAAGUGGCAUCAUUACAAAAAAAUUAAACUUAAAUUUUUUGUCAGUAGAACAUCCCAAAGUAAAAACUUUUCAUAUCGUCAAAUAUAAAAACUCACUCGAUGUAGAUAUAUCACAAGUUCUCAUAACUUAUAUCUCGCAAAAUAACAGCAAUAUAUGCUUGCUGUUAUUCGACUUGAAAAAUGGAAAGAAUUGUAAACGUCAGUCCAUUUCGACUAAAAAUCCUGAGUAUUACGUUGAUGUAAUAGGAAAUUAUGGGAAUAAUUUAAUAGCAGUUCUUCACGAUACAGAUUUACACAUAUUAGAUCCAUCGCGUAAUUUAGUUGACAAAUUACAUAAAACAGGGAAAACUGGUAGAAUACCAACAUGCAUCGCUGGACAUCCUGGAGAAGAAUGUGUGGCUACUGGAGAUUCUACUGGGCGCGUAGUAUUAUGGAGAAAUUUAUUCCAAUCUAGGCCAUUUACAGCAGUAUAUCAUUGGCAUACAUUACCUGUAACUGAAAUAGUUUUUAGUAAAACAGGUAUUCAUAUGUACACCGGUGGUGGAGAGUGUGUUUUAGUAAAAUGGACUAUUGCAGCUCCGUCAGAUAAAUCAUUUUUACCUCGUUUACCAGCACCAAUUAAAUAUUUAACUAUCGCGUCAGAUAACAUUUACGUUGCCAUAUCCACCUUAGAUAAUGGUAUUAGUGUUAUAAAUCCUCAAAGAGAUUUAAUAUCUGUAAUACAAAAUCUAACAUGGGGUAUUGCAUUAUCCUGCAAAGAUUUAUUCCCUGCUGGGCUCGUUGUAGAUCCACGUACCAAUAGUCUUGUUUUAAAUAGUCGCACUGGGCAUGUUCAGUUUUAUAAUACACAUAAAAAAAGUUUAUUGUACAAUAUUCAUAUAACAGCUGAAAAUUUUAUUACACGAGAACGAAGUGUAAAUACUUUAAACACUGAAGUAACUAAAGUAGCCUUGAAUCAUGAUGGUACGUGGAUGGCCACAGUGGAAGAACGCGAUGAUAAGGUUUCAGCCCCUGAAGUGAGAUUAAAAUUUUGGUCAUUUGACUCGAACCAACAAAUUUUUACAUUAAAUUCAUCGGUCGAACUUCCACACGAAUUAGGAGUUAAUGCUUUACAAUUUCAAACAAAUUCAUUAUUCGGUGACGAAGAUCCUUUAGUUGUAACUACUGGUAAAGAUAAGAAAUUUAAGUUAUGGAAUCUUGUGGAGCCAAAAUCGAUUUAUAAAAAAACGAAACAUUGGCAUUGUUAUGGCGUAGGAAAUUACCAUGAACUAUCAGCUACAGAUGCUGCAUUUUCAAUAGAUGGUUCUUUAUUAGGAAUCGGUUUUGGUUCGUCAUUAACUAUUUGGGAGCCUGAUACGUGUACUUUAAGGAGUAGUCUUACACAUAGUCAAUAUCCACAUACCAUAACGCGCAUCGAAUUUGGGAAACAAGAAGCUUGUAAUCUGAUUGUCGUUGCUUCGGACAAACAUAUUGCUGUCUGGAAUAUUUUAUCUCUGAGUAUUACAUGGAGUGUUUCUUUAAAUGUAACUAAACUUACAGCCGAUCCUAAAUCCAUUUAUAUGGCUGCUUUCACUACAGAAAAUACGUUGUAUAUUUUUAAUCCACAAAAUUCAACUCCAGUAUACGUUAAAAAAUCCAUCAUCGAAAACGACAGUUCAAUAUUAGGAGCUGUUUUCGUACCACGUUUGCAAGAUAGUAAAGAUUCCUCUAACAUGCUAUGGCAGAAGAAAUCACAAUUAUAUUUUAUAGAUUCGAAUCAAGAACUUUUGUGUUUGGAAUCAGAAUCCGAAAUAGGAGACGCUUUAGAAAUCUUCUCAAGAAAUCAAACAGCUUUAACUCCUUUCACGAAUUUUAUAGCAUCUCAGACUGUAUCAAGUAGAGAAGAAAAUAAUUCCCUCGUACAGGAAUCUUAUCGUAUUUCAGGAAAAGAUAAAAUAGACGAGAUCUUUAAUGUUGCUGCUCAUACUUUACCACCGGUGAGAAUGCUUUGUGCAACUUAUUUACUGGCUUUGCUAUCACAAAAAGAUCAAUCUUCAAAUAAUACAUUGUCAAGACCGGACGAUCAUAAUGAUGAUCUCGAUGAUUCGGAAGAUGCGGAAGACUCCGGAAGAGAAAAUUCGGAAGAGGAAAAGAUAAAUGAAGAAGAAGAUAAUAUUAAACGCGUAAAACCAAUAAAACAAGAACCAUCGCCAGUUUCAACGAAUAUGGGUGUUGAUAAACCCAAUCAACCAUUAAUUAAUCACGAUUGGUCAUUUUUAAAAACUAUAGUACUUCCCCUUGGAAAAACUACUGAAACAUAAGAAAUAUUUUUUUUAUAUGAAUAUUAUUAAAAUAUUAAAAAAAUAAAAAAUUAACAGAAUAUAUUUGUCGUCAAGUAUGGAUAUAAAUAAAUAUUGGUAAUUCGUCGAGACGCUGAGCUUUUUCAAUUAACUCUUCAAUUAUUUCCGUAAUUCUAUUAGCAUAUUCCGAAUCUCGUUUCAUAUUAUUUAUAACAAUAUCAGUUCUAUCGCGGAAAACAAAUUCAGUAUAACAAUUGGUAUCAUUCAUAAUUUGUGCACUGAGAGUUUCAUCCAUUAAAAUAGUUGGAAAAUAUACCAUAGCACAUAUCAAAGAA
rnacentral:misc_RNA from 1 species